rnacentral:miRNA from 12 species
AUCGGGAUGCUGUUUAGAUUGUG